rnacentral:rRNA from 1 species
AUUGAAUGAUGGCGGCAGGCAUAACACAUGAAAGUAGCACGAGUGGAGUACGGGUGCGUAAUGUCUGGGAAAAUGCCUGUUGCAGGGAGAUCACUACUGGAAACGGUAGCUAAUACCAGAUACCAUCGCAUCUGCCCAGAUGGGAUUAGCUAGUAGGUGGGGUAAAGGCUCACCUAGGCGACGAUCCCUAGCUGGUCUGAGAGGAUGACCAGCCACACUGGGACGGCGACACGGGACAUGUUCAAGAGAGAGGGAGUAGUGGGAAAGAUCGGAGAAUGUGCGAAGCUCUGCGGCAGGCAUGAAGCGUGUAUGAAGGAGGCCGUCGGGUUGUAAAGGACUGUCAGCGGGGAGGGGCGACCAGGAGAAGAAGCACCUGCUAACUCCGUGCCAGCAGCCGCGGUAAUAC